UCUGGUUGAUCCUGCCAGUAGUGAUUGCUUGUUUCAAAGAUUAAGCCAUGCAUGUCUAAGUAUAAGCGAACUUAUACAGUGAAACUGCGGAUGGCUCAUUAAAACAGUUUGAAUUUAUUUGAUGAAUGUAUGAGAAUACUACUUGGAUAACCGUAGUAAUUCUAGAGCUAAUACAUGCAACGACGCCCGAUCGUUUCACUACGGAAGGGCUGUAUUUAUUGGAUACCAAAACCAUCCUUCCCUCGGGAAGUUUUGUUUGAUGAUUCACAAUAACUGAUCGGAUCGCCACUGUGGUGGCGACAGGUCAUUCAACAUUCUGCCCUAUCAGCUUUCGAUGGUUGUGUAGUGGACAACCAUGGCCAUAACGGGUAACGGAGAAUCAGGGUUCGAUUCCGGAGAAGGAGCUUGAGAAUUGGCUACUACAUCUAAGGAUGCAGCAGGCGCGCGAAUUACCCAAUCCCGAUUCGGGGAGGUAGUGACAAAAAAUAACAAUACCGGGCCUUUUUGGGCUUGGUAAUUGGAAUGAGGGAGAGUUAAACGGACCAUCGAGUAUCCAUUGGAGGGCAAGUCUGGUGCCAGCAGCUGCGGUAAUACCAGCUCCAAUAGCGUAUAUUAAAGUUGUUGCAGUUAAAAAGCUCGGUUACUGUGAGAAAAUUAGAGUGUUCAAGGCAGGCAUUGGGUGCAAUUGAAUACAUUAGCAUGGAAUAAUAAAAUAUGGCUCCUGCCGUAUUUUGUUGGUUUUGACUGGUGGGAGUAAUGAUUGAUAGGGACGGUUGGGGGUGCUAGUAUUGAGCGGCCAGAGGUGAAAUUCAUGGAUUCGCUCAAGACUAACUUAUGCGAAAGCAUUCACCAAGGACGUCCUCUUUAAUCAAGAACGAAAGUUGGGGGAUCGAAGACGAUCAGAUACCGUCGUAGUCUCAACCAUAAACUAUGUCGACUUGGGAUCGGCGGUAGUUUUUUCAUUAAGACACUGUCGGGACCACGGGAGAAAUCAAAGUGUCUGGACUCUGGGGGAAGUAUGGUCGCAAGGCUGAAACUUGAAGGAAUUGACGGAAGGGCACCACCAGGAGUGGAGCCUGCGGCUUAAUUUGACCCAACACGGGGAAACUUACCAGGUCCAGAGAUGUAGAGGAUUGACAGAUUGAAGCUCUUUCUUGAUCACUUCGGUGGUGGUGCAUGGCCGUUCUUAGUUGGUGGAGUGAUUUGUCUGGUUAAUUCCGUUAACGAACGAGACCUCAGCCUGCUAGUGUAGUCGGCUGGA
rnacentral:rRNA from 1 species